rnacentral:rRNA from 1 species
AUUGAACGCUGGCGGCAGGCCUAACACAUGCAAGUCGAGCGAGAGGCGGGCGGGUGAGUAAUGUGUGGGAAACUGCCCGUUGGGGGGGGAUAACUACUGGAAACGGUAGCUAAUACAGCAUACCAUCAGAUGUGUCCAGAUGGGAUUAGCUAGUAGGUGGGGUAACGGCUCACCUCGGCGACGAUCCCUAGCUGGUCUGAGAGGAUGACCAGCCACACUGGAACUGAGACACGGUCCAGACUCCUACGGGAGGCAGCAGUGGGGAAUAUUGCACAAUGGGCGCAAGCCUGAUGCAGCCAUGCCGCGUGUGUGAAGAAGGCCUUCGGGUUGUAAAGCACUUUCAGCGGGGAGGCGUUACCCGCAGAAGAAGCACCGGCUAACUCCGUGCCAGCCGCCGCGGUAAUUC